rnacentral:rRNA from 1 species
GUGAACGCUGGCGGUAGGCCUAACACAUGCAAGUCGAACGGCAGCACCGUAAGAGCUUGCUCUUACGGGUGGCGAGUGGCGGACGGGUGAGGAAUACAUCGGAAUCUACUUUUUCGUGGGGGAUAACGUAGGGAAACUUACGCUAAUACCGCAUACGACCUACGGGUGAAAGCAGGGGAUCUUCGGACCUUGCGCGAUUGCAUGAGCCGAUGUCGGAUUAGCUAGUUGGCGGGGUAAAGGCCCACCAAGGCGACGAUCCGUAGCUGGUCUGAGAGGAUGAUCAGCCACACUGGAACUGAGACACGGUCCAGACUCCUACGGGAGGCAGCAGUGGGGAAUAUUGGACAAUGGGCGCAAGCCUGAUCCAGCCAUACCGCGUGGGUGAAGAAGGCCUUCGGGUUGUAAAGCCCUUUUGUUGGGAAAGAAAAGCAGCAGGUUAAUACCCCGCUGUUCUGACGGUACCCAAAGAAUAAGCACCGGCUAACUUCGUG